rnacentral:sRNA from 1 species
CGGGUGCGAGACUUUAUGUCAUUGGAGUUCAUUGUCCCCUCCACCACCAACGCAAACCCUCACGCCAUCGCAAGAAGAAGUCAUCGCGAGAUGAAGCUCCUCGCUUCAUCUCCUUUAUCGCGAAACACUUCCUCGCAAUCUGCAAAACUUGAAACACAGAAAGCCCCAAAUCUCUUCACACCAGAAACCCUAAAUUGCGACUUCGCUCAUCUUCCAACU